CAAGUCGAACGAGGUCCACCGAGUAGCAAUACGAGGGAAGACCUAGUGGCGAACGGGUGCGUAACACGUGAGAAACCAACCCCGGUCUCUGGGAUAACAGGCGGAAACGCCUGCUAAUACCGGAUAACGUCGUUUCCUCGCAUGGGGAGGUGACGAAAGGGUUACCGGAUCGGGACGGUCUCGCGGCCUAUCAGCUUGUUGGGGAGGUAACGGCUCACCAAGGCAUCGACGGGUAGCUGGUCUGAGAGGAUGAUCAGCCACACUGGGACUGAGACACGGCCCAGACUCCUACGGGAGGCAGCAGUGGGGAAUCUUGCGCAAUGGGCGAAAGCCUGACGCAGCAACGCCGCGUGCGGGAUGAAGGCCUUCGGGUUGUAAACCGCUUUUAACAGGAACGAAAAUGACGGUACCUGUAGAAUAAGGUGCGGCCAACUACGUGCCAGCAGCCGCGGUGACACGUAGGCACCAAGCGUUGUCCGGAUUUAUUGGGCGUAAAGAGCUCGUAGGCGGUUCAGGUAGUCGGGUGUGAAAACUCUGGGCUUAACCCAGAGACGCCACUCGAUACUCCUGUGACUAGAGUUCGGUAGGGGAGCGGGGAAUUCCUAGUGUAGCGGUGAAAUGCGCAGAUAUUAGGAGGAACACCGGUGGCGAAGGCGCCGCUCUGGGCCGAUACUGACGCUGAGGAGCGAAAGCGUGGGUAGCAAACAGGAUUAGAUACCCUGGUAGUCCACGCCGUAAACGGUGGGCACUAGGUGUGGGUUCCAACCAACGGAAUCUGCGCCGUCGCUAACGCAUUAAGUGCCCCGCCUGGGGAGUACGGCCGCAAGGUUAAAACUCAAAGGAAUUGACGG
rnacentral:rRNA from 1 species